UUAAAAGAAAGGAAAAGGAGAGAGAAAAUGAAUAGGAAAGAGGAAAAUCAGUGGAUGCCGGGAAAGGUGGCAUAGAAAGAGCAGAAUUAGGAAAGGGUGGUGACGAAGGUCACACAAAAGCCACAUUGAACAGGUGAGUUUUCAGCUGCUUUUUGAAGGAGACUCCUGAGUCCACUAAUCUCCAGCUCAGGGGACAGAGUUCCAGAGUCUGGAUGACACUAAACCGCACCCUAUGUACUUUAGACCUGAUUUUUAUAGUUAUAUGGUAUGAACUUGAUUUCGUUUUAUUCAUUUUCAAAAACAUUUCAAUGAUUAUUUCCAGAGAAUGGUAAAAACUACAUAUUGUCUCUUUAUUGCAUUAUUUGUUAAAAAAGCAUGUUAACCCCCUAGCAAUGCAGCGUCUCGCCCAUGGAACAAAACCUCAUUGAGUUCAUUAAACCUGGAAAUUUAAGAGGUUAAAAAAAUCUUUAAAGUGACAGUGUGUAGUUUUUUUUACCAUUUAUCUCUAGAAAUAUCCAUCUGAAUGUCGUUGUGGAUUAAAAGAUGCCCAGUUGUUGAAAAAUAUUGGCAGUUUUAUAAUAUUUAACCAUAAAAAAAUCUGUGCUAAAAUACAUGAGAGUGGGUCUAAGGGUGUGUCCGAAUCCACAGGAAGGAUGCUUAUGAGUACGGGUCCUCGCAGGUCUAGAAAGGCCGGGUCCUUGAAGACCGCUAAAACCGGAACCCAGCGGCUCUGAAUUCGGACAGUCUAGCCUUCACCUCUACGGUGGCCCGUAGGUCCGGUCCCGUCACAGCCGUGGCGGCAGCUACACGCAAAGGAAAAAUGCUAAAGCUAGCGAAAAUGGAGCAGGAAUAUUAAGGAGCUACAGCAGCUUCACGUCCAUCAGCAGCGUUUGUUCACAACCGUUUUCAGGUCAGCAUGCACUGUGCUGCACAUCUGCCUCUGUGCUGGUGAAGUUGUGGGUCUGGAGGAUGAGCCUGAGGAAGAUGUGUGUGGAGGAGGUCAGUGGUGCUCUGUCCUG
rnacentral:lncRNA from 1 species